CCUGGACUUCUGAGAACCUCCCCAGAGGGCCUGGGGAACUCGGCCAAGAUGGCGGCCAGCCAGGAAGCCAGGGCGUCCGGAUCCUAGGCCUGAAUUUCAAAGCCAGGUUCCUUCCUUACUCUGCCUCUCUGGGCUGGAUCUCAUUCUGAAUUUUAAAAUAGCAAAGGGAGAGGGAACCAAGUCAAACGAAAGCACAGGAGGUGGCAGGAGCGGAGCUAAUUGGGCCUAGCCACCGCCUCGGCCAUCCAAAGGCCAGGCCUCCCGUGCAAACACCUGUACUUCAGCCCUGCGUGGGGCAAACUCUGUCCUCGCUGGAGAAGCCUGGACCCUGGACGCAACCUGGGGACGCCUCUCUGCCUUCCGACUUCCUGCAAUGGAGGGUGGCUGUGCCGGGGUUUGCACACCUGAGCUCGUAUCCAGAACCACAGCCAAACAUGCACGGUUCCCACCCACUUACCAAGAGCGGCUCCCAGAGGCUGGGAAGGAAUCCUCCACGGACACGUGGAGCCAGCCCCAUGCGGGACACGGGGGACCCAAGGUGAAUGGGCAAGGAGGUUCGUCCAGCGGGUACAAUGAUGUGAAGUCAUCACACACACUCUGACGGUGCGCCAUCAGCUGGACCCAACAUAUAGGGGACAAAGGCGGGAGGCAUUACUGGGGGCUCAGGGAGGAGUUGAGAGGGCACAGAUGUGAUAGAGGGGACAUGCGGGUGGUGUUCCAGGCAGAUGAAGAGCAUGUGCAAAAGUCCUGAGGCUGGGCCAGGAGGCAUGGGAGAAGGGGGUCUGAGCACCCGGGGACUCUCAGGACGAAGGGCGACACUGGGAUGGACUCCACUAAGGCCUUGGGAGGCCCAGUAUCAGGUCAGCUCUGGGCAGACAGUGGGGAUGGCCAGGAGACUUUGGGACCCAUACAUUUUAAAGAUUCGAAUUACAGGAAUUAUCCCCCAGGGGAACUCUCUCCAGAGCAGGUUUUUAUGGGGUACGACUCUCCUGGGGGCCUCGAUGAUGAUUCAGAAUCUCAGGACUUCACAGCCUCUCUCUGGUGAGGGGGCAGAAGCUGACCUCCAGCCCCUCUGGAGUAAGCUUAUCCUGGUCACAUGUUGGAUUAACCUGUAAGCCCGUUAACCACGGUCCCCACCUCUUGGCCACCUCACGCUGUUUUCUUGACCCGGGCCCUGAGAACUCCCUGGUUGGGGAGGAUUUUUCCAUCUUGGUCUCUAGGUCGGCCCACAUCCGCCCUGGCCCCUGGCCAAUGUCAUAGCCAGUACUGUGUGACGCUCUAGCUGUCUAGGAGCCCUUACCUCAACCCGAAGAGGACCUGGGGGAGCCAGUCACAUGGUGGUGAACACUGCUGACUCAUUUGGCACCGGAGACCGCUGAGGUUCCAGGGAAUCCACUGUGUAGGCUGCAUGUAACGGACCCCAUUACGAACUCCCAAGUCUGAGGGACAAAUGGGCUGCUGCCUGACCUCAUCUGACCCAGGCCCCACCUGAGCCAGGCCCCACCUGAGCCGGGCCCUCACCUGAGCCGGGCCCUCACCUGAGCCGGGCCCUCACCUGACCCAGGCCCCACCUGACCCAGGCCCUCACCUGAGCCAGGCCCUCGCCGUCAGCCCUGACAUCCUGGAGCGGGGUGUCCCUGUCCAGGCCCACAUAACGAUGAGCAGAGGACUGUUUGGGUAAACUCAGCCCCAGCCCCUUCCCUUCCUGAGCCCUAGGCAAUGGGACCCUGGUGGGAAGCUGCUGGGUUCCUGAGGUUCGCUCCCUGGUCUCCCAGGGGGCACGGGGUGGGCUUGGUGCUCAAGUUCUCAUUUCUCUCUCCUCCCUCCCCAAAUCCACGUGGACCGAGGGAGGAAUUCACGUGGACACUCAACUCAGUGAAGGAAAGCCGGGCAAAGGCAAACCAGGCAAAGAAUCUUCACAGGACGCAAAGACCUGAGGUCACAGGGACAGCGAAAGCCACAGACCCGAAGGCCCACGCCCCAUGAAAGAGGGGGAAAGGUGUCCCCGCCAUGUCACGAGAGAGCCAGGAGGCCCUCGCCAGAAGCUGGCACCUUGCUACUGGACUUCUUGGCCUCCAAACUGUGAGGAAUAAGUUCCCCUUCUUCAAAAAUUACCCAGUCUGUGCCAUUCUGUUUUAGCAACAAUCAAACAAAGGCUCAGACAGUGCCCUGGGCAUUUUAAGGGUCCCACAGGGAAGCGGAGCCUUUUACUCAGAAAAUCAGACCCACAGAUUCCUCCUGGCCACAGGCCUCUUCCCUCAAUUACCCUAACCAGGGCUCUCCCAGCCAGAGCCGCCACUCAUGACGCUGGGCCUGAGGAACAUUCCAGAAAUUGAACAUUUUGUCUACACCUCCUUCAUCUUCAAAUAUGUAUGGACAACCAGAAAACACCCUCCCCCUCCAUGAGGAGCUCCAGGGCAGUGAAGGAGAGACCCCCACUCCACUAGCACAAGAACCGCUCAGGGGGGGACACAGUAAGCGGAAGGAAAAGGUCAAACAACCGUAGUUUACAUUUCCAGGGAAAUCCAAUAGGGCAUCUGGAUUUUAAAUAACAGACUCCUGCCAUUUAAAAUCGCAAACACGACGGACAAAAUCUGAAGCCUUCAAUCUGUGGGUUGAAUAACGAGGUGGAUCCAGUGUCCUGGGUGCUCAAGACAAAGAAGGCUCUCAGCACAGCGACAAAGGGCACCCACCGGCCUGUCAAACAUCGACCCAGAGCUGCACGACGUGGACAUUGGAUAGAGGGUUUUCCACAUCUAAGUCAGAGAAGGCAGCAGACGUGGGGAUUGGAAUGACAGAAGAAACAAGAGGAGAAAACCUCUCUUAGGUGGAAGAAGACGGAGAUGUUUCAUUGAAGGUCCCAGUCACGGCCGAGCAGGGCUGGUGGAGAGUUGACGCAUGCCUGGGACAUGUCUGGGCUCCUUGAACACAGGCAGGUUUGUAUGUUAAGUGUCCAUCAUGACUCUGGCAAUUUUAGUGUGAUGUUGGCCUUCUUUUUAUAUAUAUAUUUAGUUGUCAGUGGACUUUUUUUUUUUUUUAAUUGAUACCUGGUGCUGAGGAUCCAACCCACUGCCUCACACAUGCUAGGCAAGCGCUCUGCCACUGAGCCACGCCCCAGUCCCCACGUUGGCCUUCUUUCAUCCACCCAUUCAUGAUCUCAGUCGGCAGCCUUUAUCGAGGACCUGACCUCACAAAGCACGGUCUAGUGGGAACAGACCAGAGAACAGUCAACCACAGAGCGGCAGCACAGCAUGGGGCUCAGAAUGGCAACUGUGGAGCUAGGCUGUCCGGCUAGACCCUGGUCACCGUCACCAGGCACGUGUUUCUCUGUACUUCAUGUCAUUCCACCUAAAACGUAGGAGGGUGGUUUCUCUAUCGUAGGUUGUUUAGAAGACGAAGACUUAAGGAAAGCGCUUAGGACAGCAACUGACACACAGGCAGACCUCGGGGACCCGACGGCUCCUUUCCAGGCCUACAAUAAAGAGAACGAUGGUAAUAGCGGGAGUCUCGAUGUGGAAGCCGUGUUUCUCCUCGGCUGUGGUCUCUUAAGUGUGCAAUAGCAUCAUGUCUCUAAAAAUGUGCAGACCUUAAUUAAAAAACACUGAAUUGCUAAAAAAUGCUAAUGGUCAUCUGAGCUGUUGGAAAAAUGGCGCUCGCAGAUCGG